GACGAACGCUGGCGGCGUGCCUAAUACAUGCAAGUAGAACGCUGAAGGAGGAGCUUGCUCUUCUUGGAUGAGUUGCGAACGGGUGAGUGACGCGUAGGUAACCUGCCUGGUAGCGGGGGAUAACUAUUGGAAACGAUAGCUAAUACCGCAUAAUAGUAGAUGUUGCAUGACAUUUGCUUAAAAGGUGCAAUUGCAUCACUACCAGAUGGACCUGCGUUGUAUUAGCUAGUUGGUGAGGUAACGGCUCACCGAGGCAACGAUACAUAGCCGACCUGAGAGGGUGAUCGGCCACACUGGGACUGAGACACGGCCCAGACUCCUACGGGAGGCAGCAGUAGGGAAUCUUCGGCAAUGGACGGAAGUCUGACCGAGCAACGCCGCGUGAGUGAAGAAGGUUUUCGGAUCGUAAAGCUCUGUUGUAAGAGAAGAACGAGUGUGAGAGUGGAAAGUU
rnacentral:rRNA from 1 species